AGUCGAGGGGUAUAUUUCUUCGGAGAUAGAGACCGGCGCACGGGUGCGUAACGCGUAUGCAAUCUACCUUUUACAGAGGGAUAGCCCAGAGAAAUUUGGAUUAAUACCUCAUAGCAUAUCAGCUUCGCAUGAAUCCACUAUUAAAGUCACAACGGUAAAAGAUGAGCAUGCGUCCCAUUAGCUAGUUGGUAAGGUAACGGCUUACCAAGGCUACGAUGGGUAGGGGUCCUGAGAGGGAGAUCCCCCACACUGGUACUGAGACACGGACCAGACUCCUACGGGAGGCAGCAGUGAGGAAUAUUGGACAAUGGGCGCAAGCCUGAUCCAGCCAUGCCGCGUGCAGGAUGACGGUCCUAUGGAUUGUAAACUGCUUUUAUACGAGAAGAAACACUCCGACGUGUCGGAGCUUGACGGUAUCGUAAGAAUAAGGAUCGGCUAACUCCGUGCCAGCAGCCGCGGUAAUACGGAGGAUCCAAGCGUUAUCCGGAAUCAUUGGGUUUAAAGGGUCCGUAGGCGGUUUGGUAAGUCAGUGGUGAAAGCCCAUCGCUCAACGGUGGAACGGCCAUUGAUACUGCCAGACUUGAAUUAUUAGGAAGUAACUAGAAUAUGUAGUGUAGCGGUGAAAUGCUUAGAGAUUACAUGGAAUACCAAUUGCGAAGGCAGGUUACUACUAAUUGAUUGACGCUGAUGGACGAAAGCGUGGGUAGCGAACAGGAUUAGAUACCCUGGUAGUCCACGCCGUAAACGAUGGAUACUAGCUGUUGGGAGCAAUCUCAGUGGCUAAGCGAAAGUGAUAAGUAUCCCACCUGGGGAGUACGUUCGCAAGAAUGAAACUCAAAGGAAUUGACGGGGGCCCGCACAAGCGGUGGAGCAUGUGGUUUAAUUCGAUGAUACGCGAGGAACCUUACCAAGGCUUAAAUGUAGAUUGACCGGUUUGGAAACAGAUCUUUCGCAAGACAAUUUACAAGGUGCUGCAUGGUUGUCGUCAGCUCGUGCCGUGAGGUGUCAGGUUAAGUCCUAUAACGAGCGCAACCCCUGGUUGUUAGUUGCCAGCGAGUCAUGUCGGGAACUCUAACAAGACUGCCAGUGCAAACUGG
rnacentral:rRNA from 1 species